rnacentral:lncRNA from 1 species
UUUUUUUUUUUUUUUUUCUUUUUUACUAAUGAUCAAGAUCUUAAUAAAAUAGCCAAAGUACAAAUGUGUAUAUUACAUCAGGUGUUCUAUAUUUUUUUUCUCCUGAAAACAAUGAUCUGCCUCUAUUCCAACGCCCCCCUCCCUAAGACUGAUAAGCAGGUUCUUCAAAAGAACAUUCUCAGCUGGGAGCUGUGGCUGACGCCUGAAUCCCGCACUUUGGGAGGCUGAGGCGGGUGGAUCACCUGAGGUCAGGAGUUCGAGACCAGCCUGGCCAACAUGGUGAAACUGUCUCUACUAAAAAUACAAAAAUUAGCAGGGCGUGAUGGUGCAUGCCUGUAGUCCCAACUACUUGGGACGCUGAGGCAGGAGAAUAGCUCAAACCCGGGAGGCGGAGGUUGUGGUGAGCUGAGACUGUGCUACUGCACUCCAGCCUGGGUGAGACAGUGAAACUCUGAUCCAAAAAAAAAAGGAACAUUCUCUCCAGAUUAAUGCAAAGACAUAGAAAUAGCAUCAUAUAAUACACAUCAUUCUACAACAUCCUUGUUAAACUUUACAAUGUCAUAGGCACCCCUCUAUCUAGUUUAUCAUUUUUCACAGCUGCAUAUUAUUCCUUAAUACAGAUGUACCUUAAUUUACUCAGCCCAUCUGUGGACAUUAAGGUGGCUUCCAGUGUUUGUCAUAACAAAGACACCUGUAAUAAACACCAGCACACCUAUAUCCUGACAUACUGCUGCUUUUAUUUCUGUAUGAUAAAUUUCCAAAAAAAAUGAAAUUACAGAGUCAGAGAGUAUAUGUCAUUGUUAUGGACUGAAUGUUUGUGUCUUCCCAAAACCCAUCUGUUGAAGCCCUAACCCCAGUGUUUACUAGGUGGGAUCUUUGGGAGGUGACUGGGUUGUGAUGAGGUCCUGGGGAUGGGGUCUCCAUGAUGGGAUGAGUGCUCUUAGAAGGAGAGAGGCCAGAGCUUCUCUCUCUCUGCCAUGUGAGGACACGAGGAGAAGGCUGCUGUCUGCAAGCCAGCAAGCAGGUCUUCACUGGAGACCCAAAUCAGCCCACACCUUGAUCUUAGACUUACCAGCCUCCAGAACUGUGAGAGAGAAAUUCCUGUUGUUCACGCCAUUCCUAUUGUUUUAAGUUUAAGCCACUCAGUCUGUGGUAUUUUGUUGCAGCAGCACAAGCUAACUGAGAUAGUCAUUAUAGCCCCAAGAGAUUGAUUAUUUGACCACUUUUGAAUUCUAUAAAGUCAGUUUUGGAGUUAUAUUUAAAAAUUAAGCUAGGACCCAUGUCUUCCCAUGUUUAUAUAAGAUAACUCAGUAAAUUACCCAACAGCUUAAGAAAAGAAAAGAAAAAUUCUAAGGGGCACCCAGGCAAAAGGCAUAAUUUCAGCAAUGACAAAAUGAGGCAUUUGUUGACCAAAGUGAGGACUCCCAAUCAGUGUGUCCACACCGUAUGUCUUUUCAUGAUAACAUUCCAAAGGAUUUCUCAAUUUUGGAGAAAUUUUUGAAAAUACUAACAUAAAAUUCAUCAAAUACACCAUAAAUUCACCUUUUGGUCAUAGAUUGGAGAGGAACGUGGUCCUGGGAACCAAUGUUGGCUUCCGAUUCCACCUGCACACACUCUUGAGCGGCCAUUCCCUAUCUGGCUCAUUUCCUCGCCUGGGACUUGGGGCGAUAAUACUGAUUGUGGUAGCCAGCCUCAAGGAUGGCCCCCAGCAAUCAUCACCUUUUGGAAUUCAUACCUUUGCAUGGUCCUUUACGUGCUGAUUCAGAGAUGACC